GACGAACGCUGGCGGCGUGCUUAACACAUGCAAGUCGAACGGAAAGGCCCCUUCGGGGGUACUCGAGUGGCGAACGGGUGAGUAACACGUGAGUAACCUGCCCUUGACUUCGGGAUAACUUCAGGAGACUGGGGCUAAUACCGGAUAGGAAUCCUUGCUGCAUGGUGGGGGUUGGAAAGCUUCGGCGGUUUUGGAUGGACUCGCGGCUUAUCAGCUUGUUGGUGGGGUAGUGGCUUACCAAGGCUUUGACGGGUAGCCGGCCUGAGAGGGCGACCGGCCACAUUGGGACUGAGAUACGGCCCAGACUCCUACGGGAGGCAGCAGUGGGGAAUAUUGCACAAUGGGCGGAAGCCUGAUGCAGCAACGCCGCGUGCGGGAUGACGGCCUUCGGGUUGUAAACCGCUUUCAGCAGGGGCGAAGCUUGUGGUGACGGUACCUGCAGAAGAAGCACCGGCUAACUACGUG
rnacentral:rRNA from 1 species